ensembl:misc_RNA Metazoa_SRP Metazoan signal recognition particle RNA
GCUGGGCAUGGUGGCGCAUGCCUGUAAUCCCAGCUCCUUGGGAGGCUGAGGCAGGAGAAUCACUUGAACCCAGGAGGCAAAGAUUGCAGUGAGCUGAGAUCGCGCCACUGUACUCCAGCCUGGGUGACAGAGUGAGACUCUGUCUCAA